CACUACAAAUAAAUAGACAAUAAAAUUUAAAGAGACUUUUAAUAAUACUCUGUACAUAAAUAUUAUCGCAAUUAAAUAUAUAUAAAAUGAACAAGCAUAAGCAUAACAUUACUGAAUAUUUAGAAAGAAAAGAAAAACUUUUAAGCUGCGGGAAUCUUUUUCAUGAAGUUAACAAAUUCUAAAAUGUUAUUACACUUCUCGAGAUUAGAACCGCACUCUCUCCAUCAUGUGCAUCCUCGUAUAUCAUGUUGAUCUUCUUACUUUCCGCUUUCCCUUUCUAGUAGUACACCCACCGCCUUUUACGAGCGUCCGUCACACGCUCUACUGUCAGUGGGCUGCGUCCCGUACACGGUCCUGUAUAGGAAGUAAGAUUCAUUCAGUUUCUAUGUCGAACUCGAGCCGCAGAUGUUGAUUCAACGGCUCGGAUCUAAGGAGGAAAUGUGGUCGUAGUAACCACACGAAUCACGAGACACGUUGAAUUUGUAAAAGUCAAAAUCACUUUCUCGUAAAUGGAAGUUAUUACCGAUAUAUAUUUAUUUAAUA
rnacentral:lncRNA from 1 species